rnacentral:lncRNA from 1 species
CAGUGGAGUACCAUUUGUCCUUAAAAAGGGAGGAAACCCUUGCCCCCCUGCACCAUGGGUGGCCUAGAGGGCAUCUGUUGACAAGGGCACCUGCUGUGAGCCCACUCCUCUGAGGUCCCUAGGAGCCAUAUCCACGGGGACAGGCAGGGCUGGGAACAGGGAGGGUUUAGUGUCCAGUGGGCCCAGAGCGGCAGUCUGGGUGACGAGGCGGUGUGGAGAGGUGGCAGGGGAAGGGGUGACCACUGAGUGUGCCUGUUGGGCCUGGGCACUGGCCCUGUAACACCUGGCACCCUGCUCAGCCCUGGCCCUCUCCACACAGGCUCUUGUCACCUCGUCUCUCUAGGGAAGGUCUCCGCUUAAUCCCUUUAAACAGUUCUUGUGUCCCAUUUUUACUUGCUGUUGUAUGGCUGUUCUGCAUCUGCCUGACCGUUCAUCCCUCUGUUGGUCUUUUAGCCUUUUUCAUUUGAUAUGUCCCCGUCCUUCUUCCAACCAGUAGUUCCCCUCCACAUCGUCGCCUUCCUGAGUUGGGUCCUCUGUGUCCACCACGAGGAUCUUUCACACAGUAUUUCUGGGAUUCUUUCUGGUUCUGGGUUCAUGCUGCUAAUGGUGUCCCUUCCUUGGUGAGUCUCAGCUGAGACGUGUCCCUGGACUCGGCCUGAUACUGUGUUCGUAGUGUUCGUUUCUGACGGUUUAGUUUCUUUUUAACCCACGUGUUUUCUUGGUGAUCUUUAAAAGCCACCAGGUGGGUGUCAUGGCUACUGUGACUUGUGUGACUGCCUGUCAGAGUGAGUCUGGCCUGCUUGAUUUCUGCUCCUCAAGUUUGUUGAAUCAGAGUUGCUCACAGGGUUUCCUAGGAAGUUCUGUGUUUUUGUAGCGUGAUCUAGAAGCCUUGCUCGGGGCCUUCACAUCACUGUUUCU